AUUGAACGCUGGCGGCAUGCCUUACACAUGCAAGUCGAACGGUAACAGGUCUUCGGAUGCUGACGAGUGGCGAACGGGUGAGUAAUACAUCGGAACGUGCCCGAGAGUGGGGGAUAACGAGGCGAAAGCUUUGCUAAUACCGCAUACGAUCUCAGGAUGAAAGCAGGGGACCGCAAGGCCUUGCGCUCACGGAGCGGCCGAUGGCAGAUUAGGUAGUUGGUGGGAUAAAAGCUUACCAAGCCGACGAUCUGUAGCUGGUCUGAGAGGACGACCAGCCACACUGGGACUGAGACACGGCCCAGACUCCUACGGGAGGCAGCAGUGGGGAAUUUUGGACAAUGGGCGCAAGCCUGAUCCAGCCAUGCCGCGUGCAGGAUGAAGGCCUUCGGGUUGUAAACUGCUUUUGUACGGAACGAAAAGACUCUGGUUAAUACCUGGGGUCCAUGACGGUACCGUAAGAAUAAGCACCGGCUGACUACGUGCUAGCAGCCGCGGUAACAC
rnacentral:rRNA from 1 species